GUGAUGUACUCCUACGGGGAGGCAGCAGUGGGGAAUAUUGCACAAUGGGGGAAACCCUGAUGCAGCCAUGCCGCGUGUGUGAAGAAGGCCUUCGGGUUGUAAAGCACUUUCAGUAGGGAGGAAGGUAGUGUAGUUAACACCUGCAUUAUUUGACGUUACCUACAGAAGAAGCACCGGCUAACUCCGUGCCAGCAGCCGCGGUAAUACGGAGGGUGCGAGCGUUAAUCGGAAUUACUGGGCGUAAAGCGCAUGCAGGCGGCCUGUUAAGUCAGAUGUGAAAGCCCGGGGCUUAACCUCGGAAUUGCAUUUGAAACUGGCAGGCUAGAGUCUUGUAGAGGGGGGUAGGAAUUUCAGGUGUAGCGGUGAAAUGCGUAGAGAUCUGAAGGAAUACCAGUGGCGAAGGCGGCCCCCUGGACAAAGACUGACGCUCAGAUGCGAAAGCGUGGGGAGCAAACAGGAUUAGAUACCCUGGUAG
rnacentral:rRNA from 1 species